rnacentral:tRNA from 1 species
GCUUUUAAAGGAAAACAGCCCUCCGUUGGCCUUAGGAGCCAAUACCUCUUGGUGCAAGUCCAAGUAAAAGCU